CCGCGACGACUUGCGGUGUUCGCGUCGCAUUACAAACCCGUGGGGGCGAUGUCUCAACAAUCCCCUUAACACGACACCAAUGAGCCACUCUACACAUUUAAUUUACAAUUGUUUAAAUACAAAUGUAUCGUGACUUUUCCAUUUUAUUUUUUUUACACGCAUAUUACAUAUUGUCUGUAAUCGGUAAUUCGUUCUGGUUAUUAAUUAUUAUAAAUCGCGUGGAUAAAUAAUUUAGUCGACACCGUGAAAAAAGCGUAUUUGGUAUUGGAGGAGGGGUAUUUUCGGGGGCGCUAGUUUUAAACCUGGAGGCGCUCAAGACCGCCGUACAUCUUAUACCCUAGUCGCGCAUACGAUAGAGUGUCGAAAUCGACGUCUGGAAUCGCCUGGAUUCACGAAAUCGCCUUGACGUAAUCGCGUGGAUUUUAGCGGGGUGUCGCGCGUCCCCGAAAACCGUCUGUCGUCGAUCGCAAUAACCUCGAACGUUAUUUUUUCGAGAUUUAUUUCCGUCGGUUUUCUCGCACCGUGUACCGCGAAAACCGGAUAAAACGUUCUUCGGACAAACGCAAUAUUCGUCGAUCGAUUUCGUUCCGGAGAUUUUCGUUGAAACGAUUAAACGAACUAUUAUACUCAGAAGUUUAUCUACUCGACGCCUCUGCACGAU